GACGUAGGUGGCGAACGUUAUCCGGAAUCAUUGGGCGUAAAGGGUGCGUAGAUGGCCUGAUAAGUUAGCAGUGGGAAAUCGAGGCUCAACCUCGUGGAAGCUGGUAAUACUGUCGGGCUCGAGUGCAGGAGAGGUUAACGGAACUCCAUGUGGAGCGGUAAAAUGUGUAGAUAUAUGGAAGAACAUCAAUAACGGCGAAGGCAGUUAACUAUUCUGUUACUGACGUUGAGGCACGAAAGCGUGGGGAGCAAAACGG
rnacentral:rRNA from 1 species